rnacentral:rRNA from 1 species
AUUGAACGCUGGCGGCAGGCCUAACACAUGCAAGUCGAACGAGUGGCGGACGGGUGAGUAAUGUCUGGGAAACUGCCUGAUGGAGGGGGAUAACUCCUGGAAACGGUAGCUAAUACCGCAUACCAUCAGAUGUGCCCCGAUGGGAUUAGCUUGUUGGUGGGGUAACGGCUCACCAAGGCGACGAUCCCUAGCUGGUCUGAGAGGAUGAACAGCCAAAUUGGAACUGGGAAAAGGUCCAGACGCCUACGGGGGGCAGCAGUGGGGAAUAUAGCACAAUGGGCGAAAGCCUGAUGCAGCCAUGCCGCGUGUAUGAAGAAGGCCUUCGGGUUGUAAAGUACUUUCAGCGGGGAGGCGUGACCCGCAGAAGAAGCACCGGCUAACUCCGUGCCAGCAGCCGCGGUAAUUC